rnacentral:rRNA from 1 species
UAUUUUAACGGCCGCGGUACUCUGACCGUGCAAAGGUAGCAUAAUCAUUUGCCUUAUAAUUGAAGGCUAGAAUGAAUGGUCUGACGAGAGCAAUACUGUCUCCUAUUUAUUUUUUAGAAUUUGACCUUCAGGUGAAGAGGCCUGAAUUUUAUUGAAGGACAAGAAGACCCUGUCGAGCUUGAAGGGUAAGUAGAAGCAAUUAUAUUUUAAUAAAUUUACAGCUACUAAUACUUUUGGUUGGGGCGACCAAGGAACAAAAAAAGCUUCCUGUAUUUAAGAAUACUAAUAAGUUUUGAUCCAGCUCAGCUGAUUGAAAAAAUUAGUUACCGCAGGGAUAACAGCAUAAUCUCUCUUGAGAGACCUAAUCGAAAGGGGGGGUUGUGACCUCGAUGUUGGACUAGAAUAUCCUGAAGAUGCAGAAGUCUUCGAGGGUUGGUCUGUUCGACCAUUAAAAUUCUAC